UCUUCUUUUGUACACCCAAGUUAAUGAUCUGGGUCUCACACCGCAACCAAUUCACUGAACAAUGAUUGUCUGCAUCCAAUGCAGUUGAGAGCAAUUCCAACACGAGUAUUCUGUUCUUUACAUCACCUUCUGCUUUCUGUCUUCAUUCACAAUGUCAUUCUGGUUCAGGGCCUUUUGAAAAUGUGUUGCCAGAUGGUCAGCCUGAGAAUUUUCUGCUGGUUCUCUGAAUGUCCCGAUUGCCUUUCUGACAAGCCUUGUUCGACUCUCCUUCCCGUUUGGGUCAUCAUGUUGGGAAACAUGAGAUGUUACGUUAAUCUCCAGCAGGCGAUUUCAGACCUUUUAGAUCCACUUAUAACCUCACGAUGAAUUACUUCACUGUUUGGCAAAUAUUAAAUAACAUCUUUUUGUUGUGUGUGUUGCUGUGGCAGUGUCUGUGUCUGUGAUCUUCGGGCUCCAGCUGGCUCCAGAAGCUGUUGCUGCUCAGUCUCAACUCGCCUGCCUCUUCCUCUCGCUUGUGUCCUCCUGUUGAAACACAGCUGGUUUGCAUCUGUCAGGACGGAUGGAGGGACAUUUCAAACUAACCUGGCAAGAGCUGAGAAGAUCCGGAGCUGCCAGUCUUGGAGAACAACUCUUGGCUCCCGCUGAGUACCGUAUGCCUGAGCCUGAACCAAUUAUCUCGCGUUACACAAUUAGGGAAAUCGACUCGCUCCUCAAUCCCCACAUCCUUUCCACAUUGCGUAUUUCAAGGCUGAUCCAAACAUGCAGAAAGAGUGUGGGAUGCCACUUCAGACAGCAGGUGGGAAGCUGCGAUUGCAAAUACACCCUUAGCAGGAAGCAAGCCCCACUGAGCUCCAUAGAUGUACUUACGAACUGACACACACCUGCUACGACUGACCGAACCCAAAGGGUGCUCAUCAAUGGUUCCUCUUCAUCCUGGAGAAGAGUGACUAGUGGGGUGCCACAGGGUUCUGUCUUGGGCCCGGUCUUAUUCAACAUCUUUAUCAACGACUUGGAUGAUGGACUCAAGGGCAUCCUGAUCAAAUUUGCAGAUGACACCAAACUGG
rnacentral:lncRNA from 1 species